UUGUUGAAUUAAUUAACUUGUCUAAUUAUUAUUAUUUUUUUUGAGAAAAACUUGCCUAAUUAUUAAGUGUUUUAUUUAAUUUUGUUGAUUCGUGUUCUAGACAUAUGAAUUUUACUCGGGAUCUAAACAAAAAAUUCAGCAGCUAUUGUUUUAGUGUUUUGAGUUUUAUCCGUAUAAGAAGCUACUCAACCCAGAGAGUAGUAGGUCAUCCAACAACCAAGAAUUUCAGCUCCAAUGAUUUCGUUCAAAGAGAUUUUAGCCGUCAUUGCCGUCCCCUUAGACCUCAAAUUUAUGAUGGUAGCUCUUUAAUUCUUCAGUCAAGCUGUUUACAGCCUUGGUUCAAAAAAUGGCAAGAACAACGGAAGAAUAAACUGACAGCCAGCACUUUUGCUGGGGCUAUUGGUUUUUGGCGUGGUCGAAGAGUCAAGCUUUGGUUAGAGAAACUCGGUGCAGUAGAAUCGUUCUCGGACAACAUAGCUACCUGUUGGAGCAACAUGAAAGAAAAGGAAGCACUUGAAAAAUAUGAGCUUCUUACAGGACAUUCUGUUUCUUUUCCUGAAUUUCAGGUUUAUGGUUUGAAGAAUUCGGAUGAUGACUGGCUAGCAGCUUCACCAGAUGGGGUAAUUGACUCCCGAGGAGUGCUUGAAAUUAAAUGUCCGUACUUUAAAGGAGAUAAGAGAAGAUUUUCGCCGUGUAAGCGGAUUCCUCUAUAUUACAUUCCGCAGGCUCAGGGUUUAAUGGAAAUACUCAACUUGGAUUGGAUGGAUUUCUAUGUUUGGACUCCUGCGGGGAGCAGUCUUUUUAGGAUCAAUCGAGAUGUAGAAUACUGGAACAUUCUGAAAUUGGCGCUGUCUGAUUUCUGGUGGAAGAAUGUUCAACCAGCAAGGGAGAUAUACAGCAAAGCUGUGAUUAAAGAUCCCCAAAGAGAAUUAAAAUUAUUUAAGCCAUCUCGUAGGCAUGAAUUGUAUGGCGAUAUAGUUUAUAAGAGCAAACACAUUGUUGAUAGUUCCAAGCUAUUGUGGCGUGAAAAGCAUUGGCAAUUGUACAACUGAUGUCGCUCGAUACAGGAUUUAGGUAAAUGAAAUUCGCGUUUUAAGUGUAGAAGUGGCUUUGAUUAAGUAAAUUUGGAGAUUGUGUGCUACUGCCAUUAAAUUUGAGUCAGCAGACAAAUAUCUCACACUUGGAGCCUAUCGAGUAUCCCUCUAUUCCUUGCUAGAGAAAUGAUGGAUUUGAAAAACAAAAAAAAUUCCUGCAGUAGGGAUAGUACAUUAUGAACUUGUUAAGAGUUACUAUCACAUUUUCCUGUUUGGUGUAGGCAUAGGCCCUUUCCCAUAUCACAUUACGUGUUCUAACGUUGUUUCGGUAGGAGAACUUUAUCAUUAGCUUCCAUUAUCCGUUCUGGGAGUUGAUCGGUUAUGACCAACUUGGAGUAAAGAGAUGCAGAAGCCACUUCUGUCAUUCCUUUGCAUGUUUUAUUUGGCUGUUGUCUUUGAGUGCGUUGCUCCAUAGAGUUUGCGUAGGUUGGACAGUGCCUCCAUCUUGCUCGAUGGAGGUUUAGAUCUUGUGAUUAGAGUGAUAGCUACGGUUGGAGAAUGAGACUUGAUAAUUUUGCAGGAGUUAGAGAUCUCUAUAGCUGCCAAAAUGAGGGAUCUCUGGAAGGAUAUAGCUGGAAAUUAUCAGAUCCUAUUGAUGAUCAAGCUCUUGCUGGUUGGGAGUUUAUUAAGGAUAACUUUGCUGUGAAUGAUAAUGCUGAUGACCUGAUUAAGUGGAAAGCUCACAGGAGUGGUGAUUUCUCCAUAAGCAGCCUGUGGAAGAAUUUGCAAACUGUCAGAACAAUAGUUCCCUGAUACUCCGUGGUCUGGUUGUCAGGAGUUCAACUUGCUGAGGCCAAAGUUGGACUUAACAAACCAGAAUUGGUUCCUAAGGAUUUUACUAAUGUAAUAGAUGUAGCUGGGCUCCUUUCUGAUGGCCAGGGCAAUGAGACUGGAACAAAAUGCUGCUCAAGCUCUGUUGGAGGUGUAAAAGGGUCCGCAAUAUGAGAUUGAGAGGCAAAUGAAGGUGGUCAAUCUUCCAACUCUGAUCAAUUAAUGAAUCAUGAAGAAGGUGCUGAAAAUAAGUUACAGAUCAACAGAUCACAGCGAGCCAUGCAAUCAAGGAUCUAAUGGCAAGAGGCUCUAUCAGGAUGAUAUCUGCUCAUGCUAGUCAGCUGAUAUACACGAGAGCCGCCUAUACAUAGAAUGAAACUAAUAUCAGCAUUUUGUUACCAUUCAUAGGAUCUUUGCUACAGUAUGUCAACUGCAUUUUGUUUUUUUAUUUUAGAGCAAAUUAUUACGAGGUUUCUAAUUUAUGUUAUAAUUCACACUUUCGUCUCCCAUGUUUAAAAAUCAAACGAUAUGACACCUUACUUAUGUUUCUGUCAA